ACCUACGGGGGGCAGCAGUGAGGAAUAUUGGUCAAUGGGAGAGAUCCUGAACCAGCCAAGCCGCGUGAGGGAAGACGGCCCUAUGGGUUGUAAACCUCUUUUGUCGGAGAACAAAACCCGGGACGUGUCCCGGACUGCGUGUAUCCGAAGAAAAAGCAUCGGCUAACUCCGUGCCAGCAGCCGCGGUAAUACGGAGGAUGCGAGCGUUAUCCGGAUUUAUUGGGUUUAAAGGGUGCGUAGGCGGUCCGUUAAGUCAGCGGUAAAAUUGCGGGGCCCAACCCCGGGGCUGCAUUGGGAACUGCCAG
rnacentral:rRNA from 1 species